UUUAAAACUAAUAUAUUUUAUUCAACAAAUAAAAGCAUCUGAAUACAGAUUUGGAUCAUCUUCAAGCAAGUUCAGAUCACUGUCUAAGAAAUGCUUGUAGAUAAUAUAGUGUAUAAACAUUAAAAAAAAAAAAAUAUUUGUUCAUCUGAAUCUGAACUAAGCUUUUUCACUGCAAAAUAACAGCAUCAGUAUAUAAUGGGGGAAAAUACUGACAAGUUUGGUUUGUAUUGAUCUGCAACAAGCAAAUUCAAAUCACUGCCUGAGAUAUGCUUGUAAAAAUCAUGUUGUAUAACAUUAAUAAAAAAGUUUCUGCUGAACAUGGAUUUGAACACAUUUUCUGCUUCUAUACAGACAAACACACUCAGUCAAACUGCACAUUGGAAUAGUUAAUAUUUCAUAAGCAUGGAUUUGCAUAUAUACAUAUUAGUUCAUUUUCUAAGCUUACAAAUGUAUUAAUAUAAACAGAAAUAAAUGGAGAUUGUGUCUAUGGGACACAGAUCCCCCUGCAUAUUGAAAGUCCUAUCCACAGACAUAAAUCAUGACACAGAAUUUGGUGAAUAAAUUUUAUGCUUAUCUUUCUAAAUGUAUAAAUAUUAUUAAGGAUUUAUAUUCACCAAGUAAAAUAGUAAACAGUAUCAAUGUGUAGUUAAAAAAAAUGAAUUUAGGAUGUACUUCUAUGAAAUAAAAAAAAUUUAGAAUUUAAAAAUUGAUACUACAAGAGCAUAAAUUGAGGAAUAAAAUAAUUAUAUGCCCAUAAUUAUUAAUUAUAAAUUCUGAUGGGGGAAAAGGCUGACUCUGACUUUUAACUCAUAUUUGUUUUUGUAUUAUUUGCGUCUCAAAUCAUAAGAAAAGAAAUCUAGAAUCUUCUUAAAUUUUGGUAAAGGACCUUUUAUGAGCUAUAGAAGUCAAAAAUGAAAUGAAAAAUGGAUUAUAGGUAAACAUAGCAGGACAAAAACAAGAAGUCUAAACAUCUGACAAAUAUUCCUAAACCUGAACCAAGUACAUCCUUAAAAUAGUUUUUAAUGGUAAAUCUUUUAAUUCACUAGAGUUAUCUCUCUUUGGGUAAUAUUUUUCAUUUUCGUGUUUAUUUUAAAAAUACCUUGUAUCAUAAAAAUAUAUACAAAUUUAAUUCUUAUCAUCAGUACAUAUUCAAAAACAGUGAUAAAUUCACUAUUUUAUUCUAUUCUUUGUUCUAUGUAAAAUUCUGCCCUUUUUUGAUCAGGAGAGAACAUAACAUUUCUAAAUCUUGAAAAUUCACUCAUAUCAACUUACUUAUAAAUUUAACUAAGCAUUCAUACAUAUCACACAAUAACAGACAAUAAAUCAAAUGUAUAUAGAUAAGACUAGUACACACAGGCACAUAACAAGUACAAAUCACUGUUUGUGACCUGUUAAAAUAUGUCAAAAAAUUAAAUAAUAAAUAAAACUUGAUUGGCAAUAUGAUUAAACAAUAACAGUUUAUAUAUGUAUACAGAUCAAACAAAGUUACUGAGAUUUUAGUCCCUUUUUGUUAAAAGAAAGUCUACCUUUGACAAUUGUAACUCAUAAUAAUUAUAUUUGGCAACAAAAAGCCCAUAAAAAUACAUUUGAACAAUUCUUUUCAUCAGUUAGUAAAAUUGUUUACCUUUGACAAUUCUAACUUAUAGUAAUCACAUUUGGCACCAAAAACCAACAAAAUACACUUGAACAAUUGUUUCCAUCAAUUUGGAAAAUUAAGUGCAGAUUUUCAUUUCCAUUGACAAAUUUUUACUAUAUUUGGAUAUUGGGCUAUCAAAAUCAAAGUCUGUAAAGAAAAGAAAAAAAGUAUUUGCUCGAUACAGUAUUUGUGGGGAAAAUCUGAGACCUGAGAAAUUAUUAGUAAGUGGCUUAAAAGAUAACAAUUCUAGCUACUAAAACUAACCAUUUGUUGUAUAGCUGAAAAUUGUGACAACUUAUGAGUACAAGCUUGCUAAAACAUAUAUCGUAAAACGUUUUCUUCAAUCUAAAACAAAUUUAAAUACUAUAUCUGAACUCACAAAAGGAUACCACAACUAUGUAAAGUUUCAUCUAUAUCCAUAAAUAUAAAAAAGAAGAUGUGGUAUGAUUGCCAAUAUGACAACUCUCCACAAGGGACCAAAUGACACAGAAAUUAACGCCUUUUAGAAGCAGUUGUGCUUAUAGGGCCAGACAAAGUCAUUCUCUCUUUGCAUGGGUAUAACUAUUUCAUCUGGAGCAAAUACCAGAAAUUGGUAAGCAACUCUCAAAAAUGCAUUACAUUACAAAACUUAAUAACAAAGUGUUGAUUCUGAACAAGUACAGAACGUGUCUAGUCAUUUCUUCAGAAAUCUCAAGCUUAAAAGCAACAUUUUCUGCUGCCAAAAAAUUAAAUCGAGCAAUAACAAAUAAACAAACUUAAUAAAAUAAAAACAAUCCUAAUGAAAUCAAAGGAAAAAAUAUUUAAAUGAUUGAGACUGUUUUUAUGAUUAUCAAAUUCAAACUCACAAUUUUUUGUCAAAAUCUAACUUUGACCUGUUCAACAAAGUAAAAUUCUAAACUAUUUUUUUA
rnacentral:lncRNA from 1 species